GUAUAUGUAGUUUAAGGUAAUACCAAAUUUUCAAUUUGGAGGUUUAGAUAUUGUGUAUCUUUCAUAUAUU